GUAGGUCAUACUGAACAACUUUUACUAUAGCCAACCCUGAAAUCACGAAAAAGAAAUCGCCUGUUUAAUAGAAAACAUUGACUCUACUGAUUCACCGCAAUAUGUAUGAGACAGCAGAUUUUUUUUCACGAUUUCGGGGCUGGUCCCAUAGUAUAAGUUGUUAAGUAUGACCUAUAUAUAUUCACCCCUCAGAGUUUGGUCAGAGAUAACAAUUUCGCCUUGUAUAAAAUGAUAAUACGAAGUCAACCUAAUGUAAUAUUCUUUUUUCAGACCCCUUACGGAACUGUGAAAAAAAGACAUUGGGAAGCGGUAUUAGAGGAAGAGAAUUAUCGUCAGCCUAACUUAAAAAUCGCUUACAAGUUAACACCAGCGCAUUUGAAACCGAAAGGUUUUCAAGUAAUGAAUGUUCCUCUUGCAACUGAAGUGUUUGGUCACGAAAUUUCGGUCGCCAUGGCUCACUAUCAACAAAUAUUGCGAGGAAUUGAAGGAUUCAACUGCAACACAAAAAUUUAUUGAUCUUGUAUUCAAUUUGAUACAAGCUAUGUCUUCGCGUAUACCAAGAGAUGCUCUGUACGUGAAUGAAAAUUGCAGACGAAGAAAGGCAAUCCAGGAAUUUUUAGAAUUCCUUGCAGACUGGGAAAAGCUCGAAAAAAAAAUACCUGUGUCAAGGAGCACGUUAACUGGAUUAAAAGUAACUUUACGGGCAACACUUGAAAUUUUGGAUAUGCUGAAUGUUGCAUGUGAUUACAAGUAUUUGAUGACAGCAACCCUAUCUCAAGAUCCGUUGGAGGUAAUUAAUAAUUACUAAUUAUGUAAUCCAAUGAAUAUGAAUCUGCUUGUAUGGAAUCUGCAUCAUGUAUGCUGCCUUACUUUUGGAGAAAGUCCAGAAAG